rnacentral:rRNA from 1 species
GACGAACGCUGGCGGCGUGCUUAACACAUGCAAGUCGAACGGAAAGGCCCUGCUUUUGUGGGGUGCUCGAGUGGCGAACGGGUGAGUAACACGUGAGUAACCUGCCCUUGACUUUGGGAUAACUUCAGGAAACUGGGGCUAAUACCGGAUAGGAGCUCCCGCUGCAUGGUGGGGGUUGGAAAGUUUCGGCGGUUGGGGAUGGACUCGCGGCUCAUCAGCUUGUUCGUGGGGUAGUGGCAUAGCAAGGCCUUGACGGGUAGCCGGCCUGGGAGGGGGACCGGCCCCAUUGGGACUGAGAUACGGCCCAGACUCGUACGGGAGGCAGGAGAGGAGAGUAGUGCACAAUGGGCGGAAGCCUGAUGCAACAACGCCGUGUGCGGGAAGACAGCCUUCGGGUUGUAAACCGCUGUCGCCUGAGACGAAGCGUGAGUGACGGUAAUGGGUAAAGAAGCACCGGCUAACUACGUG